CAGUCUUGACCGGGAGAGCGCAGGCACACCUGCCGCCGAAGGGGCACUACCCACAAACUCUCAGGCAAAAAGGACUGGUCAGGGAGC
rnacentral:ncRNA from 1 species